UCAAAAUAGAAAAAUCACAAUUUCUACCCGCCCCAACUCCCAAAAUCAGAGAAAAUUAGACCCAGUUUCUCUCUUUUCGUCUUCUCCUCCGCAGUUGCAGCCCUCUCUUCGUCCCAUCUAUACCUUCAACAGAGAAAAUCGGAGAAGCUUUCUGCCUCGUCUCAUCCUCUUCAGCUCUCUCUCUUCAACCACACUUUGCUGCCUACCCUAUUUUCUCUCAUAGCGAUGGUUUUUAGCUUCUUGCUCUCAUAAAUUUUCAUCGGGUCCCCUUCCUCGAUGUCACAGAGACGGAUCGGCCAAGAAGCUUUCUAGAAAAUAGAUGGAGAGAAGUUGGAUGAAACUCAUGGGUAAUUUUUUCCUGGGGUAUGUGGAAGGGGUUCGAGAGUUUAUGUAUGAAAUGGAAAUCUCUGAGGACCCUCGACCGGUGCCUAAAGAAGUCAGUGUGUGUUAUGAUGCCCAUCACAAGAGGGCUACUGCCACAUGGAUCCAUCCAAAAGCUCAAGAGAACUAUGAGUAAAUGAAGGCUUGCAUGCACAACCAACAGAGAAUGACAUUCCAUUAAUAGGAAGAGAGAUAUAUUAGGAAGUUGUGAAGCCAAAUCUGGGUAUACUCGUGGACUUGGCUAUGGUGCGAGGCAUCAUGCUAGACCAAGAUCAACUGCUCGUUUCCAUGUAGAAGGUAAUAACUCUGAGAGAGAAUCUCGUCAAGUGUUGGAGCAGAAGAUUGGAAGUCAACAAGCUCAAAUAGAAAGUCAACAAGCUCAUAUAGGAAUAUUACAGUCAUCACAUGCCAGUCUGGAAACCCAAAUUCGAGAUUUGCUUGGUCGACUUGAAGCAAGAGACACCUCUCACUCAAAUCCUUAACGAUGAAAGUGCAUUUGGACAAUGGGAGGCGCAUGACUCAUCACGUAAAUGGUUUAGAAAGAUCAUCUCUAUAUUCUAGGAUGUUUGCUUUUAAUUUCUAAGUUCAAGUAGAAGUAGUUCUCUUCUUAGACUUGUAAUUUGGAAUUUCUUUGACAUUUUAAUAUUAUAACUUUGGAUUAAUAGGUUAAUAUCUAUUUGGUGCUCUUU